AAAUCACAGAUGAGUGGAUUGGGUCAU
rnacentral:piRNA from 1 species